AUGCACUCCGAUGCCGAGGAGGGCGCCGCUGACCACUUCAUACGGGAGUGGGUGAGGCAGGUCAGCGAGCUCGCCUACGACGCGGAGGACUGCGUUCACCUCUACAUCUUCCGCAUCCGGUGCCGGCCGAGAGAUCGCUUUCACGUCUGGUCCAAACGCAUGGUGGCGACGCUCUUCCCGCGCCGUCGACUGGCUCGCGAGAUCCUGGCGCUCCAGGCUCGUGCGGUUGUUAUCAGCGAGCGCCAUGCGCGUUACGGCGUCAGCCGACCACCUCCUUCAUCAGUCCAUGUACGGCCGGUGGCGACAUCGGCGCAUGCGCUCCGUCCUGAGAACAAUCCUCAUCAGUUCGUCGGGAUCAAGGAGCAGGCUGAAAUCCUCACCAAGGAUCUCAAGGCGGUGACUGACGAGGAGCUCCAGGUUUUCUCCAUCGUGGGGUUCGGAGGGCUUGGAAAGACUACGCUGGCCAUGGAGAUGUGCCGGCAGCUAGAGCCAGAUUUCCAGCGCCAAGCGCAGGUGUCCGUGUCCCAGGCGUUCAACGGCGGUGAAGAUCUGAAGGGAUUGCUGAAGCGCGUGCUUCAACAGAUCGUCAAGCCCAAAGAUGCUACUGAGGAAGGCAUCAAGGUCAAGGAAGAAGAUCCCUUGGUUAACAUUGAAAAAAUGGAUCUAGAUGGUCUAGCCAAGAAGCUGAAGGAUCUUAUUAUGAACAUGAGGUACCUUAUUGUGAUCGAUGAUGUAUGGACCGUAGGUGCAUGGGAAUUAAUUCAAUCCCGAUUGCCAAAAAACAAGUGUGGCAGAAGAAUAAUUGUGACCACUCGGAUAGAAACUGUGGCCAGAGCAUGCAGUCGUGCCAGUGUUUAUCGUAAUUACAUUUAUCACAUCAAGCCCCUCAAAUCAUCAGAUGCAAAGAUGCUGUUUCUUAGUAGAGCAUUUGGAUUCAUGACUGACUCUUGCCCAAAGAAUCUUGAGGAGGCAAUGGAGAAAAUCUUGAAGAAAUGUGGUGGGCUUCCAUUGGCGAUUGUUAGCAUUGCGAGCCUCCUCGCCAACUAUAAUGCAGCUGACGUUUGGUGGACAGUUUGCAACUCAAUUGGUGCUGCAAUGGAGAACAACCCUACACUCGAAGGGAUGAGACAGAUACUCACACUCAGCUACAACCAUCUACCACAUUACCUCAAAGAUUGCAUGAUGUAUGUUGCCAUUUUUCCAGAGGACUAUGUUUUCUUGAAGACUCGGCUCUUGCAGAGAUGGAUCGCUGAAGGACUGAUUAUCGCGAGGCGGGGGCAAACCACAAUGGAGGUUGCAGAAGACUACUUCAACGAGUUGGUGAGUAGAAACAUGAUUGAUCUAGCUGCUUCUAUAAUCGACGUCCACGGCGAGAUGAAGACAUGUCGGGUGCACGACAUGAUGCUUGAGGUUGCUGUGUCCAAAUGCUUGGAGGCAAACUUUGUUAGCCUGGUAGGGGGACAGAAUGAAGGGAUGUCGUAUGAUAAAAUUCGUCGUCUCUCUGUUCAUGGCGGAGUACGUGGGACCACUAAGGUCCGUGACUCUACGUCCAAGGGAAGAGUACUGGGGCGUGAUAGGAGGAAUGUUAUCGAUGAAAUGAAGCUGCAGCAUGUCCGUUCACUGAGUAUGUUUGAGAUCCAAGGGCACAAGUUGCUUGAUCGGUUGGGCGAGUUCACUCUGCUGAGGGUACUUGACAUGGAAGAUUGCAAGGGCCUAGCCAACGAGCAUGUGAAGUAUAUUUGCCAGAUGUACCUUCUCAAGUUCUUGAGCUUGAGGGGUACGUAUAUCAGCUUGAUGCCUGACGAAGUCGGCAAUCUAGAACAUUUGCUGACACUUGAUUUAGAGGAGACGUGCCUUGAUGGUCUACCUGAAACUGUCAGAAAGCUAGAUAAACUUGAGUGCCUCAAGUUCGGGAAAAAGGGCGAGUGGUCCGUCAUGUGGAAAGCACCAAGAGGAGUCUCCAACAUGAAGGCACUGCGUGAGGUGACUAGAAUACUACUCGGUGAUGUUAAGAUUGCUGAAGAGCUUGGUGAACUAGAACAGCUUGAAGCUAUCAUUGUAUAUGUUGACAACAAUGCUCAGCGAGAGGACGUUCGUCAACAGCUUGCCCUCUCCCUGUCCAGGAUGUACUCUCUGCGGUCGCUCAACCUGGGAGAAAUGGAGAGCGACGGUAUGACAAUGGAUUAUCUUAUUGGUCUUCCGCCUCCACACCUCCUUCGAUUCCUUAGGUUCGCUGGGGGAUUGAGUAAAUUACCAGAAUGGGUCGGGUCACUGACAUAUCUUGUUCAGUUUACUCUUUCGUGGGCGCGGUUUAAGGAUAGCCAACUAUGGGAUGUCUUGUGUGAGCUGCCUAGCCUCGAGCUCAUCAUAUUCCAACAUGAAUUCUAUGUUGGCACUGAACUGGUGGUGUCCACGAAGCACAAAUUUCCUGCACUGAAGAACAUGAUGGUGCAGUCCAAUAGACAGUAUCCCGAAGUAUUUGAGUUCGAGGAACGAUCCAUGACACAGCUAGAGAACCUUACAAUGAAUUUCGAUAAAUGGGAAUCCAAAAGGAUAGUCGGCGUCAAGCACCUGAAGAACCUUAAAGAGGUGAAUCUCACUGGUAACAGAUACAACCCUGCACUGGGCCGUGCUCUCAAGGAGUUAGAGAAAGAGAGUAAUAGUCGCUCCAAGCCUACCCGGUUCACAGUUACAGUAACAUACGAUUGA
rnacentral:rRNA from 1 species